rnacentral:rRNA from 1 species
AAUCAACGCUGGCGGCGUGCCUCAGACAUGCAAGUCGAACGAUUAAAGCUCUCUUCGGAGAGUGCAUAGAGUGGCGCACGGGUGAGUAACACGUAAGUAAUCUACCUUCGAGUGGGGAAUAACGUCCGGAAACGGACGCUAAUACCGCAUAACGCAGCGGCAUCGCAAGAUGACAGUUGUUAAAGAUUUAUCGCUUGAAGAGGAGCUUGCGGCAGAUUAGCUUGUUGGUAAGGUAACGGCUUACCAAGGCUACGAUCUGUAACCGGUCUAAGAGGACGGUCGGUCACACUGACACUGAAUAACGGGUCAGACUCCUACGGGAGGCAGCA